rnacentral:rRNA from 1 species
AACGAACGCUGGCGGCAUGCCUAACACAUGCAAGUCGAACGAGAUCUUCGGGUCUAGUGGCGCACGGGUGCGUAACGCGUGGGAAUCUGCCCUGGGGUACGGAACAACAGUUAGAAAUGACUGCUAAUACCGUAUGAUGUCUUCGGACCAAAGAUUUAUCGCCCUGGGAUGAGCCCGCGUAGGAUUAGGUAGUUGGUGGGGUAAAGGCCCACCAAGCCGACGAUCCUUAGCUGGUCUGAGAGGAUGAUCAGCCACACUGGGACUGAGACACGGCCCAGACUCCUACGGGAGGCAGCAGUGGGGAAUAUUGGACAAUGGGCGAAAGCCUGAUCCAGCAAUGCCGCGUGAGUGAUGAAGGCCUUAGGGUUGUAAAGCUCUUUUACCCGGGAAGAUAAUGACUGUACCGGGAGAAUAAGCCCCGGCUAACUCCGUGCCAGCAGCCGCCGUAA